GUCUCAGGGCCCGCCCUGCUGAGUAGGGCGCCCGCGAGUGUGCCUGUCCCGUGGUGGUUGUGAGGUCGGAGACGGGGUUGCGCGGAAGGAAAGCGGGACGCGAGGGAUGGGUGUGGCUCCGGGCCGGAGCUCGCGGAGAGCGGCGGGGGCCACAGGAGGAGAGCCAUCUUCCGUGAACAUUCUCACAGACUUCUCAUUGUGUGCCCUCAUCCCCUGCUGGGAGGCACAACCAGCAUCACCACCCGCUUGUCUACACAGAAGCAUUGAGCUGCAGAGAGCUUAACCUGGCCCACGAUGACUGAAGACAGAGGAGGACCAGACUACAGUCACAUGCCACCCUCCAGGCAGCUGCUGGAUCAUCGUCCUGCCUUAUUGACUCGAAGAGCUUGUCACAGAUAAACAGGUCACCUCUGGAUCAGGUCUGCUUUAAACAAUAGCUUUCAUCAGCCCCCUCCUAAGCCUGAGAGACAUGGCCUGGCCACCUCUGGUUUUGCUCUGACCCAUCGGAUUGAAGCUGAGCAGACGUCGAGGUUUGACAGAUCCUACUUCGGGGGCUGCAGUGAGCUCAGAAAAGCAUGCAUCCUCUCUCCAACCUAGGACCACCAGGUGAAGGGGAUGUUGCCCCGGGUGCUAUGGAGGUGGGAUGAAGUCUCCAAGGAACUCUUAACAGGCGUGUCCGAUCUGAUGGCUGCAUACACCCCUAAAUGACUAUCAGUAUUUCCCCCAGCUGGCGAUGAAGCACGUGGGGAGAUUGCUCUGUGCAUCUUCAGGAUGCUGAGA
rnacentral:lncRNA from 1 species